AUUGAACGCUGGCGGCAUGCUUUACACAUGCAAGUCGAACGGUAACAGGCCUUCGGGUGCUGACGAGUGGCGAACGGGUGAGUAAUGCAUCGGAACGUACCCAGAGGUGGGGGAUAACGCAGCGAAAGCUGUGCUAAUACCGCAUGUGAUCUGAGGAUGAAAGCGGGGGACCGAGCAGCAAUGUUUGGCCUCGCGCCUUUGGAGCGGCCGAUGUCGGAUUAGCUAGUUGGUGGGGUAAAGGCCUACCAAGGCGACGAUCCGUAGCUGGUCUGAGAGGACGACCAGCCACACUGGGACUGAGACACGGCCCAGACUCCUACGGGAGGCAGCAGUGGGGAAUUUUGGACAAUGGGCGCAAGCCUGAUCCAGCAAUGCCGCGUGCGGGAAGAAGGCCUUCGGGUUGUAAACCGCUUUUGGCAGGAACGAAACGGUGUCCGCUAAUACCGGGCGCUAGUGACGGUACCUGCAGAAUAAGCACCGGCUAACUACGU
rnacentral:rRNA from 1 species